ACUCUCUCAGCUCUGCACAGUUACACUUGUUUUUAUACGUGUGACUUUCGUAAUGGGGAGAGAGAGAAAGGCUCUCCUCGGGACCUCAGGUUGGCCUCACAGUGGCCACUCUUGCCUUGAGGGGUGCUACAGGC
ensembl:snoRNA SNORA64 small nucleolar RNA, H/ACA box 64